rnacentral:lncRNA from 1 species
GCAGUGUUAUGGAUAGACCCUCUGGUAAUUGUGUUGUAGGUUGAAAUCCUUUUGAUGGUAAGCUGGAGAGGAGAUCCCUUGCAGUUUCAGUUUUUCCAGCUAUGCACAACCCUUCCAAGACAAACAUAGUGAAUUACAAUAUCUACAUCCAACUUCUUUCCCUCCAUCUCUCUGAGCAAUUCUACCGUCUCAUCAAGUUGUUGGUUUUUAGUU